ACGCUCGACACCUACGGAGGCAGCAGUGGGGAAUAUUGCACAAUGGGGGAAACCCUGAUGCAGCGACGCCGCGUGAGCGAAGAAGUAUUUCGGUAUGUAAAGCUCUAUCAGCAGGGAAGAAACUGACGGUACCUGACUAAGAAGCACCGGCUAAAUACGUGCCAGCAGCCGACGUAAUCUGAGGCGGGCUGGACAAGGC
rnacentral:rRNA from 1 species